AGAGAAAUCAAUAGCCGUCCGGUUGAUAGGACCAUUAGGUUCCAAUGGUACUGGUCGGGUGGAUGUAUUCUACAAUGGAAGAUGGGGUAGAAUAUGUUAUAAUCAGUGGGAUAUAAAUGAUGCUAACGUUGUAUGUCGUCAACUUGGUUAUCAAUAUCCUCUUGCAAGUCAAUUGGUCUAUGUCAACCCUAAUGAAAGAUAUGGGCAGAUAUGGUUAGAUCAAGUUGCAUGUACUGGAAAUGAGCAAAGUCUAGCCAAUUGUUCUCAUGCUGGAUGGAGAAAUCAUAGUUGCUAUUAUAAUUACGCUGCGGGAGUGAAAUGUUCUGCAACAGGUAAAAUGAUAAUAUGAUUUUUAAUCACUUUCCUAAAACAGUGAUACUAUUAAGUCACGUCUCUUAGUUGUAUUUAUAUAAUAACCUUAA